rnacentral:snoRNA from 1 species
AUGGAAGUGAUGAAUUUUUCCCCAGAUGAUUCGAAGCUGAAAUUACUGAGCGCCUUUUCUUCUCCUCUUACGGGGAGAUUCAAGCCAAUUUUCUGAUCCAU